rnacentral:rRNA from 1 species
GUGUCAGCCGCCGCGGUAAUACGGAGGAUGCAAGCGUUAUCCGGAUUCAUUGGGUUUAAAGGGUGCGUAGGCGGGAUAAUAAGUCAGAGGUGAAAUCUCCCGGCUUAACCGGGAAACUGUCUUUGAUACUGUUAUUCUUGAGUCUAGUUGAGGUGGGCGGAAUGUGUAAUGUAGCGGUGAAAUGCAUAGAUAUUACACAGAACACCGAUUGCGAAGGCAGCUCACUAAACUACAACUGACGCUGAGGCACGAAAGCGUGGGUAGCGAACAGGAUUAGAUACCCUGGUAGUCUACGCUGUAAACGAUGAAUACUCGAUGUGUGCGACAUAUUGUACGCGUCUGAGCGAAAGCAUUAAGUAUUCCACCUGGGGAGUACGGCCGCAAGGUUGAAACUUAAAUGAAUUGACGGGG